rnacentral:piRNA from 1 species
UGCAAUUAAUCACAGGUGCUGCAAGUUCACG